GAUGAAGAACGUAGUGAAAUGCGAUAAGUAAUGUGAAUUGCAGAAUCCAGUGAAUCAUCGAAUCUUUGAACGCACAUUGCGCCCGCCAGCAUUCUGGCGGGCAUGCCUGUUCGAGCGUCAUUUCAACCCUCGACCUCCCUUUGGGGAAGUCGGCGUUGGGGACCGGCAGCACACCGCCGGCCCUGAAAUGGAGUGGCGGCCCGUCCGCGGCGACCUCUGCGUAGUAAUCCAACUCGCACCGGAACCCCGACGCGGCCACGCCGUAAAACACCCAACUUCUGAACGUUGACCUCGAAUCAGGUAGGACUACCCGCUGAACUUAAGCAUAUCAUAAGCGGAGGA
rnacentral:misc_RNA from 1 species